GCCGCUAUAGCUCAGUUGGUAGUAGCGCGUGGCUGUUAACCACGAGGUCACAGGUUCGAGCCCUGUUGGCGGCG
rnacentral:tRNA from 1 species